GAUGAACGCUGGCGGCGUGCUUAACACAUGCAAGUCGAACGGAAAGGCCCAAGCUUGCUUGGGUACUCGAGUGGCGAACGGGUGAGUAACACGUGGGUGAUCUGCCCUGCACUUCGGGAUAAGCCUGGGAAACUGGGUCUAAUACCGGAUAGGACGAUGGUUUGGAUGCCAUUGUGGAAAGUUUUUUCGGUGUGGGAUGAGCUCGCGGCCUAUCAGCUUGUUGGUGGGGUAAUGGCCUACCAAGGCGUCGACGGGUAGCCGGCCUGAGAGGGUGUACGGCCACAUUGGGACUGAGAUACGGCCCAGACUCCUACGGGAGGCAGAAGUGGGGAAUAUUGCACAAUGGGCGCAAGCCUGAUGCAGCGACGCCGCGUGGGGGAUGACGGCCUUCGGGUUGUAAACUCCUUUCGCUAGGGACGAAGCGUUUUUGUGACGGUACCUGGAGAAGAAGCACCGGCUAACUACGUG
rnacentral:rRNA from 1 species